AGGUUGAUCAAAGGGAUGCCUCACCAUGCUGCUCUUUAGAGACCAGUCGUGAUUGCUGGAGAAAGUCCCGCUGAGAUGGUCAGUCAGCUGGUUUUGAGAGCCCGAGUGUCCAGUAUCUCUGGAGGCCCUCAGACAAGUCUUCCCUACGACAGGCAGCUCACGACAGACCAACUUCAACCAUGACUGAAGAGGAUGAAGACAACUUCACAUGUUGAACCACGUAACUAACUUCAGGCAUACACGGACCAUGGUCAGAUGAGACUGGAGAUCCAGACAACGAACUGAACUAUUUGCAAUCGCACAUGUGGGAGAAAAGCCCUCAAAUUCAUAGUGUAGUAGGCCCCACGGAACUCGAUUUCUGAGUUGGAGUCAAAGUCAACCCCAAUCAAUCAAAGAGGUCCAGUGUGAACUGAGGACUUGUUCCUCAGAAAAGCCUUUCACUAGCCAAUCGUCUAGGUACAGGAAGAUAUGAAUUCCCCUUCUUCUGAGAUAGGCUGCUGUUAACAGUCAUGCAUUUGGUAAAGAUGCACAAGGGUGACAAUGGGCCAAAGGUGAGAACUGUGUACUGAUAGAGUUGACUGGCGACAAAAAAGCUCAUACAUUUCCUGUGGUCUGGGAAAAUUGCUACAUGGAAAUAGGUGUCCUGAAGACCGAGAACAAACCCAUCAUUGUGAUUCAAUAUGGGGGGAAAAAGUAGCCAGGAUAACCACACAAUCUCAUAAACAUGAAUUGUUGAGAUCGCAGAGACUGAGGAUAGGUCUCACCCCUUCCUUGGACUUGGGGAUCAGGAAGUACUGAGAGUAGAAUCUCUUUUUCUGAUGAAAAGGAGGAACUUCCUCUAUAACUUCCAGAGCACACAGUCUGGACCUGCUGAAGAAGCAGUUAACACAUGAGAGGGGUCCCUCAAAAGGAACAGGGCAAAGGCCCGAUAUAUAGUAAAGCUGAAGACAUACCUCUCAACUUUCAAGCCUGUUAAUGUGUCACUAAAAUAUGUGACACUGACAAAAUCUGUGUUUCACAUUUCAGUUGCACAUCAUGCCAUAUUUUAAGUUUGAAACUUGUUUUUAAAAGAUGUUCCCCCACUGUAUGACUCAAAGCAUUUCUGAAACUGGAUAUG